rnacentral:rRNA from 1 species
AUUGAACGCUGGCGGCAGGCCUAACACAUGCAAGUCGAACGGUAACAGGAAGAAGCUUGCUUCUUUGCUGACGAGUGGCGGACGGGUGAGUAAUGUCUGGGAAACUGCCUGAUGGAGGGGGAUAACUACUGGAAACGGUAGCUAAUACCGCAUAACUUCGCAAGACCAAAGAGGGGGACCUUCGGGCCUCUUUCCAUCGGAUGUGCCCAGAUGGGAUUAGUUAGUAGGUGGGGUAACGGCUCACCUAGGCGACGAUCCCUAGCUGGUCUGAGAGGAUGACCAGCCACACUGGAACUGAGACACGGUCCAGACUCCUACGGGAGGCAGCAGUGGGGAAUAUUGCACAAUGGGCGCAAGCCUGAUGCAACCAUGCCGCGUGUAUGAAGAAAGCCUUCGGGUUGUAAAGUACUUUCAGCGGGGAGGAAGGGAGUAAAGUUAAUACCUUUGCUCAUUGACGUUACCCGCAGAAGAAGCACCGGCUAACUCCGUG